UGGGGAAUUUUGGACAAUGGGCGCAAGCCUGAUGACGCAACGCCGCGUGGGGGAUGAAGGUCUUCGGAUCGUAAACCCCUGUCGAAUGGGACGAAAGACUCGCGAGUGAAUACUUCGCGAGAGUGACGGUACCGUUAAAGGAAGCCACGGCUAACUCUGUGCCAGCAGCCGCGGUAAUACAGAGGUGGCAAGCGUUGUUCGGAAUUACUGGGCGUAAAGGGCGCGUAGGCGGCCCUCUAAGUCAGACGUGAAAUCCCCCGGCUUAACCUGGGAACUGCGUCUGAUACUGGAGGGCUUGAGUAUGGGAGAGGGAUGUAGAAUUCCAGGUGUAGCGGUGAAAUGCGUAGAUAUCUGGAGGAAUACCGGUGGCGAAGGCGGCAUCCUGGACCAUUACUGACGCUGAGGUGCGAAAGCGUGGGGAGCAAACAGGAUUAGAUACCCAGGUAGUCCCUGAGCGGGCUGGCAAGGCGCAU
rnacentral:rRNA from 1 species